AAUCAACGCUGGCGGCGCGCUUAACACAUGCAAGUCGCACGAGAAAGUGGAGCAAUCCAUGAGUACAGUGGCGUACGGGUGAGUAACACGUGGAUUAUCUACCUUCUAGUGGGGAAUACCUCCGGGAAACUGGAGACAAUACCGCAUAAGCUCGUAAGAGGAAAGCGUUGCCUUAAAAACAACGCGCUGGAAGAGGAGUCCGCGGCUGAUUAGCUAGUUGGCGGGGUAAUGGCCCACCAAGGCGAAGAUCGGUAGCCGGCCUGAGAGGGCACACGGCCACACUGGCACUGAAACACGGGCCAGACUCCUACGGGAGGCAGCAGUGGGGAAUCUUGCACAAUGGAGGAAACUCUGAUGCAGCGACGCCGCGUGAGCGAUGA
rnacentral:rRNA from 1 species